UUGGGCUCUCGAGGACCCAAUUGCAAGCGCUAUUUCCAGCAUGGUCACUGAACGGCAUCCGGUCGUCUGUUCCUAGCCGGGUACCAAAGCGUACAGUCCGUCUCGAUUUGGCCUGUGCCGUGCUCGAGCCCGUGCCCGCAAGCAAACCCUGAAAACCCUAGAAAGGGUGGAGAGGCCUUUGGCUUCCCCUUUUUGCGUGGCGAUCGAGGGAGGAGGCGUGCCUGCGAAGCGAUCGCCACUCUGGGAAUUCUUCUGCCGUCGGUUUCUUAGCUCACCGUUUGGGAUUCCGUUCGGUGGUUUUCUUUACGUUUCGUUCUUUGCCUUCGUCUCUUCGGGUGGGCGUUUCUUAUCUGCGGUCGGUUGGUUUCGUGGAGCUGAUUGAGAGGGAGAAGGUGGGAUGUGACAAGAUGGAGGGGAGCUUCGGAGGUGGUGGUGAUGAUGGUAUUGGAAAGAAUGGGGGACCAAGCGACGGUCGGCCGCCAAACCCUUUCGCCGGAGCGUAUCGGCAGUUCAUGGGCGGGGCCCAUGGCGAGUCACCUUGUAAGUCGGCUCUCGGUCGCCAUGACUCCCUUGUAAGUCCUCCUCCGUCUUCUUGUUCUUUUCCAAUAUAUUUCUUUCGUUAGAUUUGAUCUUUCUAAUGUCGUAACUGUGCUAGUAUUUCGACAUUUUUUCCGUAAAAUUCGAAGCACCGAUUGUGUCAGGAUUUAUGUAGACGACUCCGAAUUGUUGUCGUUCUUGUUUCUGCCAUUUUUUUCAAGAUCAAAAUGAUUAGUGUAUUUAUAUGUUUUUGUGCACGCUGAUAUCAAUUUGCAGCGAAGACAUUGUUGUCUGCAUCAUAAAGAUCUAAGCUUUUGGGUUUUUCUCCUUUCUUUUCUUGUGCUGGGUUUUGAUAAUUUUUCUCAAAGGAUUUUGAGGUUCUUCCUAAUGAUUUAGCGUCCAAGAUAUCUGGGGUGUUCAUCGUUAUUGUUUCUGAAGCAAGGAAAAGCCUUAUAUGCUUUCUCAAUAUAUCUUUAAUUGCCCAGUCAGACAGUUCCUAGCAAGAAAGUCCUGAAGCACAGGAUAUUUGGAGAUUGUUUCAUCAUUGCUAGUUAAACCUAAUAAUUAGUACUAGGGAAAAAAAAAUCCAAAUAAGCAUUACUAGAAAUAAAAGCUUUCUUCAACGAUUUUGAGUACGUUAAGUUAUGUUUAAUAAUGAAUGUCAUUCUGAUAGCUGGUUAAUAAAUGCAUUAUGGACUUUUCUACUAAAUUGAUUUAAGGGUUUUUUUUUUGGCUAUCUUACAUUAGAGUUUUUUUAUAAAAUUGGUAUUAUAUAAAAGAGAUUUCUCUUUGGCAUCAAUCUACAACUUUAUCAGAUGAGCAUGAGAAGCUUUGUCUGUUUGCUACAAGUUAUUACUUUAUCAUACCAUGAUAUGAAAAGUUUGUAACCAUGAUUUGCUGACCUCUAGUAUCACUGGAUGAUAAUCAUAAUCAUGCAUAUCUUUCUCUCUUGUUUCUUAUUUUAUGGAACCUUUAUUUUUAGGGCUAUAACUGUGUACAUUACCCUUCCCUACACCUCAUAUUGCUGGGAGCUUCAGGCACCAGAUGUACUUCUUAUUUCAUGGAACUUCUUUUUGUGUUGAAUUUUGUCAAUAGGAAAACCCAUUUUCACAGAGUAUUCAGUAACAUCUAAGAAUUUCCAUCACUUUGGCUACGGAAGACAUCAGUCAUCCAUGUAUCUUACGAAUUAUUUAUUAGUAAUAGUUUAGUUUUUUUAGAACUCCAGUAGAUAUGGAAUUUCGGGCAUCACCUGCAUUGAUUUUAAGGUGGCCAAAAUUUUUUAAACUAAUUAUAUAUUAAUGACUAUCUUGAUAAGUUGCCUUAGGGAUUUCAUGUUCAAAGAUGGACUUGGAAUAGCGGAGGCUUUUGUUUUUUUGUCUACUUUAUCAUAAAAGAACUAAUGUGAAACAUCGAAGAAUUUUUAUCACAAACUGUACCUUGAGCACGCUCAAGUUUUUUUUUCUCUUAAUUAUUUUAAGCUUAACUAUGAUAUGUCUGACCCUCGAUCAUGUUCACCAUACCUUUUUCUCUUAAUUAUUUGAAGUUUCACUACGAUUUGUCUGACCCUUGAUCAUGUUCACCGUUCCCAAAAAUCUUCGGAAACUGCCACUUCAGCUGUCAUCAAUGAUCAAACCUAAUAAAUAUAUGUGAUUAUACAAAAAAUGCAUGUCAAUUUACCAUGAGUAGAUAGUUGAUUCAUCAUGGCUGGUACAUGAUUGUAAGUGCAUUAUCAAGGUGAUAAUAAAUAAAAUAUUUGACAGUCACAUUUAAUAGUUUAACAGUAAAUAUUUUACCUUUUUGCAGUGGUAAGCUGGAUACUCGACAUAUCAUUUUAAGCUCCGACACCUAUAUGUGACCUGAGCAAUGUGCUCCUAUACUGUGGCUUCAUGGAUUGGCAUUUUCUAGAUGCAUGAAGGGUCCCAGAGUUUGAGUGCUUAAAAUUUUAGAGAUAUGCUUUUCUUAUAAACUUUUUUCAUUUUAUGUAAAGAGAUAAAGUAAUUUUCAACCUAUACUCCUGACCACAUGGGCAAAAAAUGGCUAGGACAGAUAGCUAGAAACCAUUUUUUUGCUAGUGCUCCGUGAACUUUUUCCUUUUAAAACAACAUAUUUUGAUUGUUUGCAAGUUCUACAACUACACUAAACUAGGAAAAUUAUGAACUAAAUAUACCUCAAGAGUAGCAUCAGAAUGCUAAUUUUUCUUCUUAUAGUAGAAAUUCAUCAUUAUGUUACAUUUCUCUUUCUUUUUCUCUAUGCUUGUGUCCUUCCUCUUCUUUCUUUCUUCUUUUUCUGUUGCUUUCCUUCACUUCUAUCUUUGAAAUCUCAACCCAUAUAGCAUGUUGUUCUGUCUUGUGCAGUAGCAGCUAGCUUUUGCUAUUUGUGGUGUUACCAAAUCCCAGUUCUCCAGUUUCUUACCUGUNN
rnacentral:lncRNA from 1 species